UCAUAGUUACCUUGCACGCUGGUGUAGAACCCGUGUGAUGAGGUCAUAGUUACCUUGCACGCUGGUGUAGAACCCGUGUGAUGAGGUCAUAGUUACCUUGCACGCUGGUGUAGAACCUCUGUGAUGAGGUCAUAGUUACCUUGCACGCUGGUGUAGAACCUCUGUGAUGAGGUCAUAGUUACCUUGCACGCUGGUGUAGAACCUCUGUGAUGAGGUCAUAGUUACCUUGCACGCUGGUGUAGAACCCGUGUGAUGAGGUCAUAGUUACCUUGCACGCUGGUGUAGAACCUCUGUGAUGAGGUCAUAGUUACCUUGCACGCUGGUGUAGAACCUCUGUGAUGAGGUCAUAGUUACCUUGCACGCUGGUGUAGAACCCGUGUGAUGAGGUCAUAGUUACCUUGCACGCUGGUGUAGAACCCGUGUGAUGAGGUCAUAGUUACCUUGCACGCUGGUGUAGAACCCGUGUGAUGAGGUCAUAGUUACCUUGCACGCUGGUGUAGAACCCGUGUGAUGAGGUCAUAGUUACCUUGCACGCUGGUGUAGAACCUCUGUGAUGAGGUCAUAGUUACCUUGCACGCUGGUGUAGAACCUCUGUGAUGAGGUCAUAGUUACCUUGCACGCUGGUGUAGAACCCGUGUGAUGAGGUCAUAGUUACCUUGCACGCUGGUGUAGAACCUCUGUGAUGAGGUCAUAGUUACCUUGCACGCUGGUGUAGAACCCGUGUGAUGAGGUCAUAGUUACCUUGCACGCUGGUGUAGAACCCGUGUGAUGAGGUCAUAGUUACCUUGCACGCUGGUGUAGAACCCGUGUGAUGAGGUCAUAGUUACCUUGCACGCUGGUGUAGAACCCGUGUGAUGAGGUCAUAGUUACCUUGCACGCUGGUGUAGAACCCGUGUGAUGAGGUCAUAGUUACCUUGCACGCUGGUGUAGAACCCGUGUGAUGAGGUCAUAGUUACCUUGCACG